GAUGAACGCUAGCUACAGGCUUAACACAUGCAAGUCGAGGGGCAGCAUGAACUUAGCUUGCUAAGUUUGAUGGCGACCGGCGCACGGGUGAGUAACACGUAUCCAACCUGCCGAUGACUCGGGGAUAGCCUUUCGAAAGAAAGAUUAAUACCCGAUGGCAUAGUUCUUCCGCAUGGUAGAACUAUUAAAGAACUUCGGUCAUCGAUGGGGAUGCGUUCCAUUAGGUUGUUGGCGGGGUAACGGCCCACCAAGCCUUCGAUGGAUAGGGGUUCUGAGAGGAAGGUCCCCCCANAUUGGAACUGAGACACGGUCCAAAACUCCUACGGGAGGCAGCAGUGAGGAAUAUUGGUCAAAUUGGGACGAGAGUCUGAACCAGCCAAGUAGCGUGCAGGAUGACGGCCCUAUGGGUUGUAAACUGCUUUAUAGGGAUAAAGUGGAGUCGUGACUCUUUUUGC
rnacentral:rRNA from 1 species